rnacentral:rRNA from 1 species
GAUGAACGCUGGCGGCGUGCUUAACACAUGCAAGUCGAACGGGAAACAUUUUAUUGAAGCUUCGGCAGAUUUAGUUUGUUUCUAGUGGCGGACGGGUGAGUAACGCGUGGGUAACCUGCCUCACACUGGGGGAUAACAGUCAGAAAUGACUGCUAAUACCGCAUAAGCGCACGAGACCGCAUGGUUUUGUGUGAAAAACUCCGGUGGUGUGAGAUGGACCCGCGUUGGAUUAGCUGGUUGGUGGGGUAACGGCCUACCAAGGCGACGAUCAGUAGCCGGCCUGAGAGGGCGACCGGCCACAUUGGGACUGAGACACGGGCCCAAACUCCUACGGGAGGCAGCAGUGGGGAAUAUUGCACAAUGGGGGAAACCCUGAUGCAGCGACGCCGCGUGAAGG